rnacentral:siRNA from 1 species
UUGAACGCAAGUUGCGCCCCAAGCCU